GGAGAGGAAAGAAAGAACGUCAAACCCUCACGUUAACUUCCGUACGCCGUAACUUCUCCGUCCGAGCUCCAAUCGCUGCACCGUUUGCGGCCACGCGUUCACCGCGUUGAGCUCUACGUUUCUACUGGAACAAUUUUAUAGGAUCUAAUUAGCUUGAGGAAAACGUUCACUCUUGCUUAUGUGAAGCUUGGGUUGUGAAUAAAUAAUUGGAGCUUGAAAUUGUGAAUACUGGAACUUGGAGGAAGCUGAUUAGUUGAGGUUUUGAGGGCUGUGUUCUUUAGGAAAAUUGUCUUGGAAUAAUACUUGGGAAUCGGC